rnacentral:lncRNA from 1 species
UCAAACUCUCCAUCAUAGCACUUCUUUUAGUAACACUUGCCACUCCAAAACAAUCUGGGUACAAGAGUGGGGAUCCACGUUAUAUGGUGUCUUGUCAUCAGUCAUAUGGGAUAUUCUGGAAAUAUGAAGAACAAAUCACUUAAUUAAGCAUGGUGCAACAAUACUGAAGAUUCAUGGCUUUGACAUUUGACAAAAUGAGUGUAGUGCCUUGUAUUAGGUCAAUAAGUCUACUGAAUAUGCAAAGCCUAUCA